CCUACGGGGGGCAGCAGUGAGGAAUAUUGGUCAAUGGACGAGAGUCUGAACCAGCCAAGUAGCGUGAAGGAUGACUGCCCUAUGGGUUGUAAACUUUUUUUAUAUGGGAAUAAAAUGUUCCACGUGUGGGAUUCUGUAUGUACCCUAUGAAUAAGGAUCGGCUAACUCUGUGCCAGCAGCCGCGGUAAUACGGAGGAUCCGAUCGUUAUCCGGAUUUAUUGGGUUUAAAGGGAGCGCAGGUGGAUUGUUAAGUCAGUUGUGAAAGUUUGCGGCUCAACCGUUAGAUUGCAGUUGAAACUGGUGGUCUUGAGUACAGUAGAGGUGGGCGGAAUUCGUGGUGUAGCGGUGAAAUGCGUAGAUAUCACGAAGAACUCCGAUUGCGAAGGCAGCUCACUGGACUGCAACUGACGCUGAGGCUCGAAAGUGUGGGUAUCAAACAGGAUUAGAUACCCCAGUAGUC
rnacentral:rRNA from 1 species